rnacentral:rRNA from 1 species
CCUACGGGGUGCAGCAGUGAGGAAUAUUGGUCAAUGGGCGCGAGCCUGAACCAGCCAAGUUGCGUGAAGGAUGACUGCCCUACGGGUUGUAAACUUCUUUUAUAAGGGAAUAAAGUGAGGCACGUGUGCCUUUUUGUAUGUACUUUAUGAAUAAGGAUCGGCUAACUCCGUGCCAGCAGCCCCGGUAAUACGGAGGGUGCGAGCGUUAAUCGGAAUUACUGGGCGUAAAGGGUUCGCAGGCGGUAUGUCAAGUCAAGGGUGAAAUCCCCGGGCUCAACGUGAGAACUGCCUUUGAAACUGGCAACCUGGAGUGUGUGAGAGGUAGGUGGAAUUCGUGGUGUAGCAGUGAAAUGCGUAGAUAUCUGGAAGAACAUCGAUGGCGAAGGCGACUAACUGGCACAUAACUGACGCUGAGGAGCGAAAGCGUGGGUAGCAAACAGGAUUAGAUACCCUAGUAGUC